GUACACACAGUCCCUUGCUUUCUUCUCUUUCUCUCUCGCUUUGUACCUCGCUGGCCAGCCCCUCUUUUUCUCAGACAAGGGAAAGGCGGCAGCAGCCUCAGCCUAAAACCCCUGAUGAGAAGCUAUCCCUGUACCUUGAAAAAUUCGAGACCAAAACCCUCACAAGGAAGCAACUCGAACGUCUAAGGGCUCAAAAGGAGGUGAAGGUGGCAGUGAUAUGAAGUUCUCUGCUUGAUCAAAAAGGGUCUCUAAACUCUAGAGCUAGGUGUCUUGCACAGUCUUCUCGAUUGGUUAUGUACAUGCAUGUCGUUUACUGGCAUGCAAAAUAAAAAGAUAGGAGCUAGCUAGCUAGCUACUGUUAUGCUUUGCAAUGGUUAUCUAUGUUUAUAAACUCCAUUACUGGGUAUUCGGUUUCGCUC